GUCAGCGCAUUAUAGUGGUUUGAGCAUUGGAUUGUGACUCUGGAGACCAGGUUCAAAUCCUGGCCCUGCCA